CGGAUACUGCUGGGUGCGUGAUAUGCUAUUAUCCCACUGACCGAUACAUUCUCGAUUGGGAACUGUCCCUGCCGGAGCCGUGGUUUCGGACAUAUGGUGCCCACCUGACUAACAGGGUCAUCGAGGAUAUUUCGCGUACACGGCCUGUGCGGUAUCCAC
rnacentral:other from 1 species